rnacentral:rRNA from 1 species
GGCGAACGCUGGGCAGGCGGAGGCGGGAAGACAGAGGUGGGAAGCGUUAAUCGGAAUGACUGGGCGUAAAGCGGGCGCAGACGGUCUCGUAAGUCGGGUGUGAAAGCCCCGGGCUCAACCUGGGAAUUGCAUUCGAAACGGCGAGGCUAGGGUACGGAAGAGGGAAGCGGAAUUUCUGGUGUAGCGGUGAAAUGCGUAGAUAUCAGAAGGAACAUCAGUGGCGAAAGCGGCUUCCUGGUCCAGUACCGACGUUCAGGCACGAAAGCGUGGGGAGCAAACAGGAUUAGAUACCCGAGUAUC